AGCACAAGAAAUUUCUGAAGCAGCAGGUUGCUAGUCUGCAAAGAUGUCUUGAGAGCAAAUUUUUUGAGCUUGCAGUCCAACAAGACCGGCCAGCAUCUAAAAACUUGUUGCCAGCACUUCCUAUGUCGGAGGACACAAAAAGCAUGGUCGAAGGUAAGUGCUUCGCUUCUUCUAUGAUAUAUUUGCCUGUAUU